AGUGAACGCUGGCGGUAGGCCUAACACAUGCAAGUCGAACGGCAGCACAGUAAGAGCUUGCUCUUACGGGUGGCGAGUGGCGGACGGGUGAGGAAUACAUCGGAAUCUACUUUUUCGUGGGGGAUAACGUAGGGAAACUUACGCUAAUACCGCAUACGACCUACGGGUGAAAGCAGGGGAUCUUCGGACCUUGCGCGAUUGAAUGAGCCGAUGUCGGAUUAGCUAGUUGGCGGGGUAAAGGCCCACCAAGGCGACGAUCCGUAGCUGGUCUGAGAGGAUGAUCAGCCACACUGGAACUGAGACACGGUCCAGACUCCUACGGGAGGCAGCAGUGGGGAAUAUUGGACAAUGGGCGCAAGCCUGAUCCAGCCAUACCGCGUGGGUGAAGAAGGCCUGCGGGUUGUAAAGCCCUUUUGUUGGGAAAGAAAAGCAGCAGGUUGAUACCCCGCUGUUCUGACGGUACCCAAAGAAUAAGCACCGGCUAACUUCGU
rnacentral:rRNA from 1 species